rnacentral:lncRNA from 1 species
UAAGAAUGCUAAAAGCAUCUACUUUGCGUGGUUUUAAGCUCGCUUGCAAAACCAGCAGCAAAGUGGCUCACUGUGGUGCCUGGCAGAAAGUAGAGCAGAAAGCUCAGUGAACUUUAGUGUUCUGAACCUGAAUCUGCUUUUCAUCAUAGUGAGUGGAUGUCUGUUUUUCUGCUCAUCUGUAAGCUACAGUUGUAUGGGGGAAGGUCCUAUUAGGUGCAGUGUGGUACAUAAUAGUACAAAAGAAGGAAUGGUCACUUGACCUGGAGGAAGUCAGAGCAAAUUUCUAAGAAGAGAAAAGCCUUAUGUUUGGUUUUGGAGGUUGAGGGGUUGUUUAAAGGGUGGGAAAGUGAGGUGGAAUGGGGAGAAUGGAGGUGUUGUUACUUUAAUAAGGCCAUAGGAUUGCCAGAGCACUGUGGUAACAGCCUUAACACAGUUUGUCUUGGUCUGCCUCAUCCACGCCUUGCAAGGUGUGUACUGAUGCAUGCAGCAAUGAAGACCAGAGGCGAGCUAUGCUGCACUGUGGGCUGGCCGAUAGCACAUGGAAGGCAGCAGUGGGAAAUGCAGUGCCAGAGCAGACCGCGUUCAUGGAGGGCCUUUUUUAUAUACUAACAAAGGAAAAUUCAAGUACCAUACAAAGAAGGAUCAAAGAUCGGUGCUUGAGAUAUUUUGCAGACCCUGAACUGGACGGCACCACCCAGAUUGAUAAACUGGCUCGUCUGAUCUUGUGGACCCCACCCAGGACCUGACUCAAAGCAGGAAGACCGCUUCAGCUUCCUAUGAUUUCAUCUCCAACCUGACCGAUCAGCACUCCAGGCUGAAUGGCUUCCACCCACCACCAAGUUGUUCUUAGAAACUCGGAUCCUUGAAUGUUUGGUGAGAUUGAUUCGAGUAAUAAUAAAACUCCAGUCUCCUGCACAGCAGGACCUCUAUGAGUUACUCUUUCUCUAUUGCAAUUCCCCUGCCUUUGAUAAAUCGGCUCUGUCUGGGCAGCAGGCAAAGUG